rnacentral:misc_RNA from 1 species
AACAAGAUUAAGAAGAAGAAUAGAGACUUGAAGCCUCAUGCCUCCAAGAGUGAAGAUCGUCUUCAUCCUUCAUACCUACCUCAUUAACCACCUCCCACAGGAGGAGGUAUUGCUAAACUUUUCAUCUGAAAAGAUGGACGCUUCACGUCCUGGCGUCUGUCCGCCUCCUGGCGACUCACCUUCUCUUCCCGGCGCCUCCUCUUCCUUCAUCCUCACGCCGGCGUCUGCUCCGGGCCCGGCGGCCACCAUCAGCACCCCUACAGACCUCUUUUCCUCUCCGGCGCCGGUUUUCUCCCAGUCUUCCCCCACCCAGUCCGCGCGGGCCUCGUGUGGUCGUUCGCGC